GUCCUAGCUGUAAACGAUGAGCACUUAUCUGGGGAUCCUCCCAUAGGUUCCCGGAUGUAGCGAAAGUGUUAAGUGCUCCGCCUGGGGAGUAUGGUUGCAAGGCUGAAAACUCAAAGAAAUUGACGGGGGCUCACACAAGCGGUGGAGGAUGUGGCUUAAUUCGAGGCUACGCGAAAAACCUUAUCCAGGCCUUGACAUGCACGGAUCAACCCGGUGAAAGCCGGGCCACGCCUUCGGGUGGAACGUGCACAGGUGCUGCAUGGCUGUCGU
rnacentral:rRNA from 1 species